CGAGUUGUGGAAGAAGAGUAAGCAGAGAAUGGAUUUGGAACCAAGCCUCCCCAGGAGCGUGUGAGGCUCCCUGACCCGUGAACUAGCCCAAGAGUUGCAUUCUGUCCUCACGUGAAGAACCUGUUGCUAAUUACAGAUUUAAGAAAUACAGCUGGAGAAGUAGCAUCAGCCCAGAUGGCGUUGCAAGAAGCCUCUGGGUACCUUUGGAUCGUGUCCGAUCACUUGGCAGAGAGAGAGAGGAAUAGAACGGACCACCUGUGCUCACCUUCGUCAGUGCCUGGGACCUACAGCAUCUCUGAUUCAGCCAAGUUUCAUUAUGAUAAGCCUAUGAUUUUUUAAGUAGUCAUGUAUGGAUAUGAGAGUUGGACCAUAAAGAAGGAUGAACACUG